GGCGGUUCUCAGGUGAUGCACCCCAGAAUCAGCCUCCCUCCUCUCUGGUUCGGGGUGUGUCACCAGAGAACCACC
rfam:Myotis davidii contig47091, whole genome shotgun sequence.